GCUCAGGACGAACGCGGGCGGCGUGCUUAACACCUGCAAGUCGAACGGAAAGGCCCUUCGGGGUACUCGAGUGGCGAACGGGUGAGUAACACGUGGGUGAUCUGCCCUGCACUUUGGGAUAAGCCUGGGAAACUGGGUCUAAUACCGAAUAUGACCACGCGCUUCAUGGUGUGUGGUGGAAAGCUUUUGCGGUGUGGGAUGGGCCCGCGGCCUAUCAGCUUGUUGGUGGGGUAAUGGCCUACCAAGGCGACGACGGGUAGCCGGCCUGAGAGGGUGACCGGCCACACUGGGACUGAGAUACGGCCCAGACUCCUACGGGAGGCAGCAGUGGGGAAUAUUGCACAAUGGGCGCAAGCCUGAUGCAGCGACGCCGCGUGAGGGAUGACGGCCUUCGGGUUGUAAACCUCUUUCAAUAGGGACGAAGCGCAAGUGACGGUACCUAUAGAAGAAGGACCGGCCAACUACGUGCCAGCAGCCGCGGUAAUACGUAGGGUCCGAGCGUUGUCCGGAAUUACUGGGCGUAAAGAGCUCGUAGGUGGUUUGUCGCGUUGUUCGUGAAAACUCACAGCUUAACUGUGGGCGUGCGGGCGAUACGGGCAGACUAGAGUACUGCAGGGGAGACUGGAAUUCCUGGUGUAGCGGUGGAAUGCGCAGAUAUCAGGAGGAACACCGGUGGCGAAGGCGGGUCUCUGGGCAGUAACUGACGCUGAGGAGCGAAAGCGUGGGGAGCGAACAGGAUUAGAUACCCUGGUAGUCCACGCCGUAAACGGUGGGUACUAGGUGUGGGUUUCCUUCCUUGGGAUCCGUGCCGUAGCUAACGCAUUAAGUACCCCGCCUGGGGAGUACGGCCGCAAGGCUAAAACUCAAAGGAAUUGACGGGGGCCCGCACAAGCGGCGGAGCAUGUGGAUUAAUUCGAUGCAACGCGAAGAACCUUACCUGGGUUUGACAUGCACAGGACGAC
rnacentral:rRNA from 1 species